CCCUCCCCAGUAUGUUUACUAGUUUUUAAUCAAUUUUAGUGUAGCUACUGUAUAAUUUAUUGACUAAUGUGGUUGGAAACGUUUUUCCAAAUUCACUAUGAUUUUUUAAAAUUUAAAAUAUGUAUGAACUAACAAUUUUUUUUAAAGUUCUUUAAACCAUAAGUUACUUAUUAUUACAAAAUAUAACUUUUGUAUGAAAGGGAAUCAGCUACUGGUAAAUAAUUUUUAUGCGGGAAGUCUUUUUUAAAUCUACGUACAUUAUUGUGUACAUCUUGUACGGAUAAAAUAGGCAAA